AAAAUGGAAAGCUAGGGUUCCGGUUGCGACUAUUUCUAUAGGUAAAGCAACGACUGGUCCGAGAGCUUUCGACCUUCAGAGUACGUGGCUAGGCUGCAAGAAGGUUACACGGCGGGACAAAAGCCCGGGAGAC
rnacentral:sRNA from 2 species